GGGCAUUUGGCACAGUUGGUAGCGCGCUCGCUUCGCAUUGCGUAACUGCGUGAGGUCGAGGGUUCGAAUCCCUCAAUGUCCA